rnacentral:ncRNA from 1 species
GGAGCAAAACGGGGGGCGUACGGCGUGGGUGAGAAAUACCCUUUGAACCUGAUCUGGAUAAUGCCAGCGCAGGGAAGCGUUCGGGCUCGCCGC